rnacentral:rRNA from 1 species
GCGACCCCAGGAUGGGCGAGGCCACCUGCUGAGUUUAAG